rnacentral:rRNA from 1 species
UACGAGGGGGGCGAGCGUUGUUCGGAAUUAUUGGGCGUAAAGGGUGCGUAGGCGGUUUGGUAAGUCUGAUGUGAAAUCUAUGGGCUCAACUCAUAGUCUGCAUCGGAAACUGCCGGGCUUGAGUGUGGGAGAGGUGAGUGGAAUUCCUGGUGUAGCGGUGAAAUGCGUAGAUAUCAGGAGGAACACCUGUGGCGAAAGCGGCUCACUGGACCAUAACUGACGCUGAUGCACGAAAAGCUAGGGGAGCGAACAGG